UACGGGGGGGGCAAGCGUUGUUCGGAAUUACUGGGCGUGAAGGGCUCGUAGGCGGCCAACUAAGUCAGACGUGAAAUCCCCAGGCUCAACCUGAGAACUGCGUCUGAUACUGGAUGGCUUGAAUUCGGGAGAGGGAUGCAGAAUUCCAGGUGUAGCGGUGAAAUGCGUAGAUAUCCGGAGGAACACCGAUGGCGAAGGCAGCUUCCUGGCCCGUAUCUGACGCUGAGGUGCGAAAGCGUGGGGAGCGAACGGG
rnacentral:rRNA from 1 species